CCCAUAACACCCUCUCCAUUAAACUGUGGGCAUUGUAAAGCAUUUCUUCCUUAAAUUAGUGAACCAAAGUUCUCCAACAGUCUUGUUUUUUUUGUGCUCCCAGCAUCUUUGAUCAUUGUUGUAACAGUAAAAUAUCCAUAGUGUGAUCUUUGCCUGUAAAGGUGGUUGAUUAAAAUGAGCAAAGCUUUUGUCUGGGAAAGAACUGAAAAGAACACCAGGUUCCAGAGUAAGUUAUUCUUGGAUAGAUCCGGAUAUGAAUU